rnacentral:rRNA from 1 species
GAGUUUGAUCCUGGCUCAGGAUUAACGCUGGCGGCGUGCCUAACACAUGCAAGUCGAGCGAGAAGUCGGAAGUGAAACUUCGGUGAAGCAGAAGAUGGAAAGCGGCAGACGGGUGAGUAACGCGUGAAUAAUCAACCCUGUACAAAGGGAUAGCCUCGGGAAACCGGGAUUAAUACCAUAUGAAGUAUAUUAAUCGCAUGAUAGAUAUAUUAAAACUUUGGUGGUACAGGACGAGUUCGCGUCCCAUUAGCUAGUUGGUGAGAUAAAAGCUUACCAAGGCGACGAUGGGUAGCCGGCCUGAGAGGGUGAACGGCCACACUGGAACUGAGACACGGUCCAGACUCCUACGGGAGGCAGCAGUGGGGAAUAUUGCACAAUGGAGGAAACUCUGAUGCAGCGACGCCGCGUGAGCGAAGAAGGCUUUCGAGUCGUAAAGCUCUGUCCUAAGAGAAGAAGAAGUGACGGUAACUUAGGAGGAAGCCCCGGCUAACUACGUGCCAGCAGCCGCGGUAAUACGUAGGGGGCUAGCGUUGUCCGGAAUUACUGGGCGUAAAGGGUGAGUAGGUGGUCAUUAAAGUCAGAUGUAAAAGGCAAUGGCUCAACCAUUGUAAGCAUUUGAAACUUAAUGACUUGAGUGCAGGAGAGGUAAAUGGAAUUCCUAGUGUAGCGGUGAAAUGCGUAGAUAUUAGGAAGAACACCAGUGGCGAAGGCGAUUUACUGGACUGUAACUGACACUGAGUCACGAAAGCGUGGGGAGCGAACAGGAUUAGAUACCCUGGUAGUCCACGCUGUAAACGAUGAGUGCUAGGUGUCGGCAAGAGAUUGUCGGUGCCGCAGUUAACGCAUUAAGCACUCCGCCUGGGGAGUACGAUCGCAAGAUUGAAACUCAAAGGAAUUGACGGGGACCCGCACAAGCAGCGGGAGCAUGGUGGUUUAAUUCGAAGCAACGCGAAGAACCUUACCAAGACUUGACAUCCUCUUGACAGGUGUAGAAGUACACCCUCUCUUCGGAGCAAGAGUGACAGGUGGUGCAUGGUUGUCGUCAGCUCGUGUCGUGAGAUGUUGGGUUAAGUCCCGCAACGAGCGCAACCCUUAUCAUUAGUUGCCAUCAUUAAGUUGGGAACUCUAAUGAGACUGCCGGUGAUAAACCGGAGGAAGGUGGGGAUGACGUCAAAUCAUCAUGCCCCUUAUGUCUUGGGCUACACACGUGCUACAAUGGCCGGUACAACGGGUAAGCGAAAGGGUGACCUGGAGCCAAUCCUCACAAGCCGGUCCCAGUUCGGAUUGCAGAUUGAAACUCAUCUGUAUGAAGUUGGAGUUGCUAGUAAUCGCGGAUCAGAAUGUCGCGGUGAAUGCGUUCCCGGGUCUUGUACACACCGCCCGUCACACCAUGGAAGUUGGAGGCACCCGAAGUCAGUGUAACUGCCGAAGGUGAAAUCGAUAACUAGGGUGAAGUCGUAACAAGGUAACC